UAUGUUAGAGUAUGUUGAGUUGUGGUCUGUAUUUUUGAAUAAGAUUAUUUUCCCUAUUUAUUCAUGUUUGGUCAGUAGUGUUGUCCGGGCAUUGGUAUAGUGGGAAAACUAGGAAUUUGGGGGACUUGUUUUAUGCACAAGGGCA